rnacentral:lncRNA from 1 species
UAUUAAAAAAUUAUAGAAAUUAUUAAAAUUAUAAAUAAAAAAACUAAUUAAAGAUAUAAAAAAUAAUCCGAAAUUUUACUAUUUUUGAAUACUUUCAACUAAUAUUUUACUAUUAUCCGAAAUUAAAAAUAAAGUUAUCUUCUAUUAUUUUAUAAAAUAAAAAAUACUAGUACUUUCGUAAGAACUGUUUGGGCUAUUCAAUUUAGGGGUGAAAAUGCAAUUUGGCAGUUACUGUUCAUUGCAGGCAGUUACUGUUCAUUUAAAGAGAUUGAGUUGCAUAUUGCCCAGGGUGCCUUUCUACAUUGAAAGUGCUUUAAGGCCAUUUCCAACCGAAAGGGCAAACUAUAACCUUGUCCAGGAUUAUAGCCCUGCAAAAAAAUUAUUUUUAAAUGAACAAUGUUAGGCUAUAUUUCUAUACCAUCUCCAAGCGAAGGGCCUAAACAUAGCCUUCUUAAUAAUUGAUUAGUUUUUAGUUUAUACUUUAAAUUUAUUGGUUAAUUCAAUUAAACUACCUUUGAUUGUUUUCAAAUCUAGCCGUCGAAUUCGAAUAAUUUAUUGCAACUGAGGAGCUAGACCCCAACAAAGGGCUAAGAGGUGGGCUAUAUUUGGUCAGCAUGAUGUCCCUUUGGCCAAUAAUGGCUUGGUGGGCUCCAUAGAAUUUUAGCCCAUCUAUAAGUUGGAGAUGAGUUUAUGGACAAAUUAGGCCAUUUUUUGGCUUUUAGACCUUUAGUCAUCUCCAUUGGCUUUUGG